UUCAUCAGAUAAUCCAACCAUCUUAGACUUGAUCAUUCCACCAGAAUCAAUUCUUGAGGAAAUAGGUUCACCUUCUUCUUCAGCCAUAUUCCCAUUUCAAGAGUACUCCUCCUCCAUCAUCUUCACCAUCUCGACGAAGCAAUCAACAUGGUGUUGCAGACUCUGCACAUCUACAGAGAAUGACAAGUUGUGUCUCUCGCUUUGGAGUUGUGGAAGAAUCUGAGGUAAGAUAUGGGAUUCGAGUAAAUCUUCGAAUUCCCAAACUGCCUCUUUUAUGAGUUCAUCCACAGCAUUCACCUCCGUCCUGAUCUUGCUGCAGCUGGUCUCGUCCAAUUCUAGUAGAAUUCCCUGCAAGCUAUCCAUCUGGUCGUAGGCAGGUUGCAGGAUUAGUGGAGAGUGGGAAACGAGAGAAAUGCGAGACGAUUGUAGAAUACGCAGAAUCGUAUUCUUGAGAGAAGUGGCUGCACCAUAAGCCGCCAUGACUUGAUUGAAAUAUGAUUGAAACAGGAUAAGGAUUUUGAAGGUGCACUUGUUAAAAUGAGAGUGGUUGAUUGAGCCUUUCCACAAAGUCAGCUCUUUACAUAUAUUGAUUAAUGAAACCUUCAUGAACACCGUAUACUCAGCCGCUAUAUUGUUUUUAAAUUGAAUUGAUUUAGACAGAUGCUUUGACAUUUCUGAAAUAAAUUGUGCUAACUUGACAUUUCUCAUGUGUGCUUGCAUGGUGCGUUUACUUUGAUAAAUAAGUUUAUUCAUGGAAAAUGAUGAAUAAUAAAAAUUUGUACCUUUAAAUGUCUCAAAUCUUUUCUAAUAUUUGACACAAAAUAGAAAUUCACCAUUUUUCCUUCCUUAUCUUUACUUCGAUGUAUUAAUUUUUUUAAUGUACAUCUUCAAAAGUGGGCCUCAAAGAAAUUGAGUUGAAUUUGAUGCCUUUUAAUAGUUAGGUAGAAUUUAGAAGAUAAAUGGAGUUGGGCCUUAAUUUUUGUAUUGGGCCAAUUUUUUUAUUAUUAUUAUAUGGAGAAGCCCAAUUAGUCUAUGUUAGUUCAUAAGAAAUUGUAAACUAUUCCUCAAAGAAAUCAAAAUAACAGAAAGAAGACAACAGCAACAUGAGUUCUCAAAAAUAAGCUCAUCCAAAUACUCAUCUCAAGCCAGAAUCUGAAAUUUUUUAGCUAUUAAAAAAAAACACAAACUGAUUACACACAAUAUCAAAACAAAGUGAAAAUCAUGCACAACUCAAAAAAAUUACAAUCCUUGAAUUGAACAAGGGACUAAUGUUUUCCACAAAUCCAACUCACAAAAAUUUAGCACAAUUCAGCACUCGGCUUAAUAAUCCACAACAAAACCAGUUACAAGUCACAAUCCUUAAAUUCACACAACAAUGUGGUAACACAACAUUCGGGAUAAUGCGGCUCCUUCGGCUCUCUCAUUAACCUGAAAAUUUAUAGAUGCACAACUUCAAAUUGAAAUUAACCAAGCUUAUUGUGACAUGAAUUGAUUUGGUUUGUCCGGAAAAGAAGGGGAUGCAGGCAGAAACAUUAAGACAGUGAUAUAUUGCAGAGUAGAAAGAGUAACCUGUAAGGCAAGUUGCAGAGUGACUUGAGCUCAAAAAGAAGAUUCGACGAUAAGUUCAAAGGCAAACUUGUCUUUUAAUUGAUUGGCACAAGCGACAGCUAAAGGAUUGCAGUCAACUAAGCCAAUAUGUGUGAUCCAAGAAUGAUCAUACGGCCAAUCAAGUUGUUGUAAUUUGUAGCAAUGCCUCAUGAUUAGGUUGCGGAGCACUGGGAAGCUUCCACGUUGAGGUCUCCAUUGCACCAAAUCGAUGUCAUCAAUUUGAAGGUCUUCAAGUUUCAAAAAAGCCCCUGAUUCUAUUUCCCACUCUGGGCCUCGAAACGAAUACCAUCUUAAUGAGAGUUUCAUGAGAUUUGGCAGCAGCGAACCAAUGUCAUUCAUGUACUUCCAAGGAUACCCCCCUAACCCACUCAAAACUAACGCUUUGAGACUUGAUGGGAACAUUGAAAGAGGAAUCGUAUUAUACUCAAACUUUAUCACGGGAUUGUGGACCCAAUAUUGAAGGUUGUCCAAAUUCCGGAGUUCUGAGAUAUAACCCAAACAACUCAAUGAUUUGCUUUCAUCAAUAUCAUCAUCGUCAUAAGGCUUCAAGUCCACUUCAAUCACUAAUGUCUGUAAAUUAGGAAUUCUUUUGAGAACUUCCCUUGUACAACUGUUUGCACUCACACCAACAAGUUUGACGAGUUUGUUCAAGGUAGCAUCAUCAGUAUUAGGGGUUGGCAGAUCGCGUCCCACGAUCACAAUAAGCUCUAGUUCUUGCAUGUCCCAAAUUUGCACAGGCAUAUAAGACUGAACUCCACGCUUCUUAAUGUAAAUAUGUGGAUGGAUAAUCAAGAAUUGAAGGUGAAAAAGGUUGGAUAUGGAAGGAGGGAGCUCCCCGUUGCAAGUUAGGGCAAGGUACCGCAAACAAACUAGUUUCAAAAUUUCAAUUGGGAAGUGAUAAAAUCGGACAACACCAGUUUCUAGUACCCUGAGCAACUUGAAACCCAUGGCAUGUAUUGGGAUUGGAUAUUCCUGAGAAGCACCAAAACAAAGGAGAGAACGGGCAGUGGAUGCACAAUCAUUUUUUACCGAAUCACACACUUGUUUGAAGUAGAAUAAACUGCUCCAAUGGGCACACAAGCGGCGCUGGCCUUCUAUAACAUCAUCAAGACUUUGUAAGACAUGCAGAAACUUGAUCCUACUAGCUUCUUCCUUACACAAGUGCUGCCAGCAAGAAUGCACGCGAUAGUUUAUCCUUAAAAUAGAAUAAUCUAUUUUGUUGAGAACAAGAUGAUACCGCAUAGAAAGAUUUUCCAAGCGUGAAUAGAAAACAUCUUCAAAACUUUCUUCUCCAAUUUGUUCAAGAAAACCCUCAGCACUGAACAGAUCUUUGAGCAUGACUGGAUCGAUCAAAUCAAUAUAUGGAGGGAAUGCUCCCAAAUAGAGAAAAAGCAUUUUUAAAUGUUGGGGUAAGUAGUCAUAGCUUGGGAAAAGUACCUCUGAUAUUCGAUUAUAUGCUUCCACAAAGACUGAACUGUGUUGUUUGAGUACCUCAGUCCAGUAUUCUGGGGUCUUGUCAGCUUUUGAUAGGAGCUCUGCAACGGUGACUAUCAUAAGAGGAAGACCUUCACAUUUCUUGGCAAUCUUCUCUCCCAGUUCCUCAAGUUGAAUAGGGAAACCCUCUUCACCAAAUACCUUCUCACCAAGUAAUUCCUUACUUUCUUCUUCAUUCAACAAGCGCACUAUUUCUCUCCCAUCCUUCGCUCCGAAUACUACAUCUUGUCUACUUGUAAGUAAGAAUCGAAUCCUUCCGAAAAUAUUCUUCAUUCUCAAGCAAUUAAUUGUCAAACGAUUUGUUAAUUGUCUCUCCCAAACAUCAUCCAACACGAUAAGACAUUUCUUGCGCUUCAAUCUUUGUUUGAGGAAUCCAACUAACUCAUCCAUGUCAUCAUCUCCUUGGGUAAGCAUUUCAUAAGCAUUUGGAUCCACUUGAGCUAGAACGCAUCGUAAUAGUACACCGAACUCGCAUUUUCUCCCCACUUUCACCCAUGCUCGAAACUUAAAAUGGCUCCGAAUUGAUGGAUCUUCAAAUAUAUGCUUAGCAAGAGUUGUCUUUCCAAUGCCCGCCAUCCCAGUAAUCGAAUAGUUUUUACCUUUAAGAAGAUAAUCUCUGGCUUUUUCAAAUUCAUCAGAUAAUCCAACCAUCCUUGACUUGAUCAUUCCACCAGAAUCAAUUCUUGAGGAAAUAGGCUCGCCUUCUUCUUCAGCCAUAUUCUCCAUUUCAUUAGUGUACUCCUCCUCCAUCAUCUUCAUCUUCCCGACGAAGCAAUCAACAUGGUGUUGCAGACUCUGCAGAUCUACAGAGAAUGACAAGUUGUGUCUCUCGCUUUCGAGUUGUUGAAGAAUCUGAGGUAAGACAUGGGAUUCGAGUAAAUCUUCGAAUUCCCAAACUGCAUCUUUGAUUCGUUCAUCCGCAGCAUUCACCUCAAUCCUGAUCUUGCUGCAGCUGGUCUCGUCCAAUAAUCGCAGAACUUUCAGCAAGCGAUCCAUCUCGUCGUAGGCAGGUUGUAAGAUUUGUGGAGAGUGGGAAACGAGAGAAAUGCGAGACGAUUGUAGAAUACGCUGAAUCGUAUUCCUGAGAGAACCCGCCGCACCAUAAGCCGCCAUUACUCGAUUGAAAUAUGAGUGUGGUGGUGGUGGCGGCGGCGGCAACGGUGGUAGGUGGUGGGAGGAUAAGGAUUUUGAAGGUGCGAUUGAUCAAAUGAGUGGUUGAGUUUGAGCUCUUGCACAAAGUCAGGUCUCUCGACAUUGAGGGCAUUUGCAUGUGCACAUCACUCAGUAAAGAUAACAU
rnacentral:lncRNA from 1 species